rnacentral:lncRNA from 1 species
GGGAUGUAGCUCGGGCAUAGCACUUGCUUGGCAUACAAGAAGUCCUGGGUUUAAUUCCCAGUAUAUAAAAAGAAAGGUAAAAAGAAAAAAGAAAGUUAUUUUUUUUAUUUAUAUUAACAUUUUUAUUGAGGUGUAAUAUUGCAGAAAGUUGCACAAAUCUUUACUAUGCAAUGUAUAAGUUAUUUUAAAUGUGCUAACUUUAAUGCCUAUUAGAAAUCUAAGUGGAGUGGCUAGACAAGCAGUUGGAUGAAUCUAGAGUGCAACAGAAGUAUCAGGGAUAUAAUACAAAUUUUAGGAGUCCUAAGAAUACAGACAGUAUUUAAAACCAAGAGAUUAGAUGAGAUGAUUUUGGGGGAAAUGAAUGCUGAUGAAUGAGAAAAAGAGGGGUGAAGAAUAUGCUUGGGGCUUCUUAAAAAUUUGGGAAGAGAAAAAAUAUCUGACAAUGAGGUUGUUGGUAAUCUCAAGAGCUAUUUACAUGGUGCUGUGGAGACAGGAAUACUAAUUGGAAUAAUUCGAAGAGAAUGUAAAGAAAGUGAAGACUAGAAGUACAGGCAGUCUCUGAAGAGCAGAGGUAUAAAGGGACUCUUAUUCAUUCUGUAAAUAGAGGGGGAUACAGAGUCUAGGGUGACAGGAAGGGAAAAAUUGAACGUUCAGUAAGUAGUGGGUGUUAUCAUAGAAACAGUCUUUAAAUAUGCAAGUAAAGAUGGGUUCAGGGCACAAAUACUAGGGCUUAUCCUAGAUAAAGGGAAGGAUAGCUGAUACUCUAUAACAGGAAAAGAGUAUGUAUCAGUACAGAUGAAGGGAGGUUUGUAGAUUUCAACAUGGAAAGAUGAGUUUCUCUUGUAGCAGCUUCUACUUAGCCAUGAAACAAGCUUGAAAAGAGUGGGCAGAUGUGUGGAAGAGUUGGAGACAAGAAAUGGGACAUAAUCCUCUUGGAGAACAGAAGAAUAAAUUGACUAGCGUUAAACUGGAGGAGUUGCUGACAGAUUCAAAGAAGUUGGUGACUUAAUGGAAGUAUGCCUUCUCUAACCAAGUCCAUCACCAUCAUCUACUACCAUUCUGAAGGCCUGCUAUGUCAGAAC